UACGUAGGGGGCAAGCGUUGUCCGGAAUCAUUGGGCGUAAAGAGCGUGUAGGCGGCCCGAUAAGUCCGCUGUGAAAAGUCCAGGGCUCAACCCUGGGAUGCCGGUGGAUACUGUCGGGCUCGAGUCCGGAAGAGGAGUGUGGAAUUCCUGGUGUAGCGGUGAAAUGCGCAGAUAUCAGGAGGAACACCAAUGGCGAAGGCAGCACUCUGGGACGUGACUGACGCUGAGACGCGAAAAGCGUGGGGAGCAAACAGG
rnacentral:rRNA from 1 species